rnacentral:rRNA from 1 species
AUUGAACGCUGGCGGCAUGCUUUACACAUGCAAGUCGAACGGUAACAGGUUAAGCUGACGAGUGGCGAACGGGCGAGUAAUGCAUCGGAACGUGCCCGGUCGUGGGGGAUAACGCAGCGAAAGCUGCGCUAAUACCGCAUACGAUCUGAGGAUGAAAGCGGGGGACCGUAAGGCCUCGCGCGAUCGGAGCGGCCGAUGUCAGAUUAGGUAGUUGGUGGGGUAAAGGCUCACCAAGCCGACGAUCUGUAGCUGGUCUGAGAGGACGACCAGCCAAACUGGGACUGGGACACGGCCCAGACUCCUACGGGAGGCAGCAGUGGGGAAUUUUGGACAAUGGGCGCAAGCCUGAUCCAGCAAUGCCGCGUGCAGGAAGAAGGCCUUCGGGUUGUAAACUGCUUUUGUACGGAGCGAAAAGGCUCUCUCUAAUACAGGGGGCUCAUGACGGUACCGUAAGAAUAAGCACCGGCUAACUACGUGCCAGCAGCCGCGGUAA